rnacentral:lncRNA from 1 species
CUUUCUGCUCUAGCAUUACAGUACUGAGUUUGUUGCCUCACAACUGCUGUACUUUCUCUCCCGCAGCACUCGGAGAUGCUUUCUGCACCAUGCCACUGCUGCAGCUGCCAGUGGUAGGGGGAAAUGUGUGGCGACGGCGAUUCAAGACUUUUUCUACCUCUUCAGUGCUUGUUUCAGUGAAGUUAACACCAGUUUCUUGAAAACUACAAUGGUACUUUGAGAGCUGAGUGGGUAUCUCUGGAAGGGCCUAUGAGAGAAACAAUUAGAAAGUCUUCUAAGUGACUUGUCUGGGGAUCAGCAGAGGGACCUGCUUGGGGACUAGAAAGUGGACUUCCUAUGGGAAACAUAGGGGUCCAUGCUGUGAGUCCUGCAAGAGGGCAUGCUGAGAGACAUGCUAGGGAAUACAUGUGAAGUCAUACAAGGAGACUUAUUGUGAGGCCUGGAGGGAGACAUGCUCUGAGUCCUAUAAAGAGGGCAUGCUGAGAGACAUGCAAGAGGAUAUGCCAUGAGUCCUACAAGAGGACUUGCUGUGAGUCCUGAAAAAGGCCAUUCUGUGAGUCGUUCAAAGAAACCUGUGGUAAAUCCUGCAAGAUGACAUGCUAAGAGACUUGUUAUGGUGUUUGCUGUGAGUCCUACAAAGAAAUGUGCUGAGCGUCCUACCAGAGAAUAUGCUGAGACAAGCAAAGCAAUGAAUUGUGAGAUCUUCAAAGAGACGUCCUGUGAGUUCUGCACAGAUAUUUGUUCUGGGAUGGGCAAGAACUACUGUGAGUCCCACAAGGAGACCUCUUAUGAUGCCUGAAAGGGAACUUGUUCUGGGAGUUGCAAUGGGACUUACCAUAAAACCAACAGAAGCAUAUGCUGGGGAAACUUCAAGAUCUGCAAAACAGUUAACUCAUAAGUACAACUAACAACACUGAAAAUAGAUACAACAACCAGUAAGAUUCUGAAAAGUGGAGAGAGGAACGAAGAUCAGUUAGGAACCUCAAGACCCGAGGAACAACACAGUGGUGAGCACCCUGAAUUUUCUUAUGCUUUUUAUAUCCUGAACUAGUUGCUGGAGGAACCAACAACUUGGAAAUGCCAGCAGGUGCAGACAUCAAAAGGAUAAGAAGGGAAUACUAUGAACAACUCAACACAAAUAAAUUUGACAACUUAAAUAAAGUUGACUGAUUGGCUGAAAAAGUACGAAAUACCACAGAUUAUUCAAAAUAAAACAGAUACUUGAAAUAGUCCUAUGUCUAUUAAGAAAUUUAAUUUGUAACUUGAAAACCUCACAAAAAUUAUCUUUAGUCUGAAAUAAUUUCACUGACAAAUUCUAUCAGAAAAUUGUAGCUGGACCCCUUCUUUACACCAUAUACAAAAAUCAAUUCAAGAUGGACUAAAAACUUAAAUGUAAAAUCCCAAACUAUGAAAAACCCUGAAAAACAACAUAGGCAAUACCAUUCAGUACAUAGGCACAGGAAAAGAUUUCGUGACAGAGACACCAAAAACAAUUGUAACAAAAGCAAAAAUUGACAGAUGGAUUCUAAUUAAACUAAAGCUUCUGCACAGCAAAAGCAACUAUUAGCUGAGUAAAUAGACAACCUAUGGAAUGGGAGAAAACCUUAGCAAACUAUGCAUUCAACAAAGGUCUAAUAUCCAGCAUCUAUAAGGAGCUUAAACAAAUUAAAAAAAAAAAAAAAAACCAUGUUAAAAAGUGGACAAAGGACACGAACAGACACUUUUCAAAAGAAGACAUACAUGUGGCCAACAAGCAUAUGAAAAAAUGCUCAACAUCACUGAUUAUUAGAGAAAGGCAAAUGAAAACCAUGGUGAGAUAUUAUCUCACACCAGUCUGAAUGGCUAGUAUUAAAAAGUGAAAAAAAAUAACUGAUGCUUGUGAAAUUGUGGAGAAAAGGAAUGCUUAUACUCUGUUGUUGAGUGUGUAAAUUAGUUCAGCCAUUGAGGAAGACACUGUGGCGAUUCAUCAAAGACCUAAAGACAGAAAUACCACUAGACCUACAAAUCUCAUUACUAGGCAUGUACCCAAAGGCAUAUAAAUCAUUUUAUCAUGCAGUAGUAUGUUCACUGAAGCACUAGUCACUAUAGCAAAGACAUGGCAUCAACCUAAAUGUCCACCAGUGAUAGACUGGAUAAUGAAAAUGUGGUACAUAUACACCAUGGAAUACUAUACAGCCAUAAAAAACAAGAUCAUGUGCUUUGGAGCAACAUGGAGGGACCUGGAGGCCAUUAUCCUUAGCAAACUAAUGCAGGAAUAGAAAACCAAAUACUGCAUGUUCUCUCUUAUAAGUGGGAGCUAAGUGAUGAGAACACCUUGGCAUAUAGAGGAGAACUACAGACACUGGGGCCUUUUGGAGGGUGGAAGGUGGCAGAAAGGAGAAGAUCAGGAAAAAUUACUAAUGGGUACUAGGCUUAAUAGCUGGGUGAUGAAAUAAUAUGUACAACAAAACACCAUGAGACAAGUUUACCAUGUGACAAACCUGCACUUGUAUCCCUGAACUUUCAAAAAAAUACAUUACUGGAGUAAAUUUUCUUCUGUA